GACGAACGCUGGCGGCGUGCUUAACACAUGCAAGUCGAACGGUGAACCAGGGCUUGCCCUGGGGAUCAGUGGCGAACGGGUGAGUAACACGUGGGCUACCUGCCCCUCACUCUGGGAUAACCCCGGGAAACCGGGGCUAAUACCGGAUACGACCCGUGGGGACAUCUGCACGGGUGGAAAGAUUUAUCGGUGAGGGAUGGGCCCGCGGCCUAUCAGCUAGUUGGUGGGGUAACGGCCUACCAAGGCGACGACGGGUAGCCGGCCUGAGAGGGGGACCGGCCACACUGGGACUGAGACACGGCCCAGACUCCUACGGGAGGCAGCAGUGGGGAAUAUUGCGCAAUGGGCGAAAGCCUGACGCAGCGACGCCGCGUGAGGGACGACGGCCUUCGGGUUGUAAACCUCUUUCAGCGCCGAAGAAGCGAAAGUGACGGUAGGCGCAGAAGAAGCACCGGCUAACUACGUGCCAGCAGCCGCAGUAACAC
rnacentral:rRNA from 1 species